GUACUUGCUUCGGCAGUACAUAAACAAAAAUUGGAACGGUAUGGAGAAGAUUUACAUGGCGCCUGCGCAUAACUCGAUGACUUGCGUCUACUCUGCAAUUUGCAUAAUUUUC
rnacentral:snRNA from 1 species